GCAGAGCGAGCGGCGCCGGCGUCAUGUGACUGCCCAGAGUUGGUGCCAAGGAGCCAGAGGGGAGCGGGGAGCCGAGCCGCGCGGAGCCGCGGCCGGAGCGCAGUGCGAGCGCCACCCGAGCCAACCCCACCCGCGCGUCCGUGCGGUCGCGGUCCCUAUCCCGGACGCCGUCCGGCCCGAAGCGCUUGACCUGCCGGCCCGCGGGGUUCCGGGCGCCGGGGAGCCGGGCCUGGGUUUCUUGGCCGCUGCGCUCGGCACCGCGCUUGGCAGAGCCAGACAUCAGAACACCCUAGAAGGCGUGGCUGAAAGGAUGCUCAUGUUUGAUCCAGUCCCUGUCAAGCAGGAGGCCAUGGACCCUGUCUCGGUGUCCUUCCCGUCGAAUUACAUAGAAUCGAUGAAGCCCAACAAAUAUGGGGUCAUUUACUCCACACCGUUGCCUGAUAAGUUCUUCCAGACCCCAGAAGGCCUCACUCACGGGAUACAGGUGGAGCCGGUGGACCUCACGGUGAACAAGCGGGGCUCCCCGCCUGCUGCGGGCGGUUCUCCUUCCUCUCUGAAGUUCCCGUCCCACCGGAGAGCGUCACCUGGCCUCAGCAUGCCCUCCUCCAGUCCGCCCAUUAAGAAGUACUCGCCCCCUUCUCCUGGCGUGCAGCCCUUUGGAGUACCCCUGUCUAUGCCGCCUGUGAUGGCAGCCGCGCUGUCCAGACACGGAAUCCGGAGCCCAGGCAUCCUCCCCGUCAUUCAGCCCGUCGUGGUCCAGCCCGUUCCUUUUAUGUAUACCAGCCACCUGCAGCAGCCUCUCAUGGUUUCCUUGUCGGAAGAGAUGGACAAUUCAAACAGCGGCAUGCCAGUACCUGUAAUUGAAUCAUAUGAGAAGCCCUUAUUACAGAAAAAAAUUAAAAUAGAGCCUGGAAUUGAACCACAGAGGACUGACUAUUACCCUGAAGAAAUGUCACCCCCUUUAAUGAACCCAGUGUCCCCCCCGCAAGCCUUGUUGCAAGAAGUGUGAGCUCCUCGAGGGCAGGAACCCUGUUUUUAUUCAUCUUUGUGUCCCGGUGCCAAGCACAGUGCCUGGCUCAUGGAACCAUCCUUCCGUCAUCGUGCAGCCUGGGAAGAGACCUCUACCUGUGGAAUCCCCGGAUACCCAAAGGAAGCGCAGGAUACACAGAUGCGACUAUGAUGGGUGCAAUAAGGUCUACACUAAGAGCUCGCACUUGAAAGCACACAGAAGAACUCAUACAGGAGAAAAGCCGUACAAAUGCACCUGGGAAGGCUGCACGUGGAAGUUCGCUCGGUCUGAUGAACUGACGAGACAUUUCCGAAAACACACUGGGAUCAAACCUUUCCAGUGUCCAGACUGUGACCGAAGCUUCUCUCGCUCUGACCACCUUGCCCUACACAGGAAACGCCACAUGCUAGUCUGAAAACCUGUCUCCAGCUCAGUGUGAUUCCCCGCUCUUCCUGGCCUCUCUCUCUUUCUCUCUCUCUCUCUCCUAUCUCUUUCUCUUCUCCUUCUGCCCGUUAUCUAACUCAUUUUUAUAUGUACAUUUUAAUUUCGAUUCAGCUGGUCUGGAUCUCUGAAUUUAUAUCAUUCAAGACUUCCAUAUGGUCAGUAGUUGAUACUCUAACCCUCCCCUCCUUACCACGGGUCAGACCUAAAGAAUGUGAACAUUAUUUUUUCCGGGGAUGCUAAGCAAACCCUCCUUACAGAUACAUUUAAUGUAACGAGAACAAGGGAACAUGUAAACUAACGACCAAUUUGUCGGUUUCUCCAUGUAUUCCUCAAAAGAAUGUCAAAGUAAAUGUAUUAGAAAUGCAGUAUCCAGCCUAUUAGUCCUUGCCAGAGACCUUCGACUUUCUGCCACAUUUUGUGUUUGACGACAGAAAGAAUUCUGUCCCUGUUACCAGCUAGCGAGACCUACAAGAUGUCAAGCUGGACCCACCGUCUCGCCUUCGCCCUCCCCACGAUUCGCCUGUUGACCUGGCUCACCUGCUCAGCUAAAUCAGCUCCUUUGUCCUCUGUGGCACCUGAAGCUCAUGUGGAGGGCUUUGACAUCCCUGGGAGCUGAGCAGGAGCUGUUGCCUUAGGUGGGCCAUGUGCUCCCAUAGUGUGAGGAAGAAGGAGAAGAUAUUGGAAAUGGAGGAGGGAGUCAGCGAUUCCUGGCUAGGACCGGCUGGACCAUCAACAUCUGGGAAAUUCACAUUAGCUGUGCAGUGCAUUUGUUAAAUGUCCAUCCCCAGGCACAACUUGGCCGAGCACACCUUUGCUGCAAAGCUGGAUACCGAGAGGGUUAUCCAUCUGUGCCACCACCACCUCCGUUCCUGCAGGAUCCUUCAUUGUCGAUCAUGAAGCCUUGAGAGUAAGGAAUCCACAGAAAUAUUUGUUCAGUCAUGUAAAAAAAAAACAAAAAACAAAAACUUUUGAGGCAGUAUAAAAUGGUCUCUUCUCCCCCCACCCCCCAACCUACUAAGAGUGUUUUUGCAAACAGGAAAACAUUGAGUGGUACUAAUACUCCCAUAUCCAAUGAGCCACAUAGCUUUCAUAUGGAGCUUUUCUGUGUGAGCUGUAUGGUGCCAAACCAGCAAUCAUUUGUGUCUAUGACACAUAGUAUAAAAGAGCAUCCACUAAGCUUGAGCAGAGUCACUCAAUUAAGACCUGAGUGACACUAUUUGUAAAUAUACCUAGUGUGAAGCACAUAGAUCUUUAUUUUGGUGACUUUUUUUUUUUUUUGAAAAAUAGAGAAAACCACAAUUCAGGGAUUUAUAUAUGUAGCUUGAAGAUUCCCACAAGUUUCUGCCAGAGCUAGCAAUUUCCUGUCAGGUACCCUGUUAGGACAAACCAGAAGCAAUGACUCGUGUUGAUGUUGCAGAUAAAUAGCACCAUUAUUUGGGGGGAAGGUUUUUUUUGUUUCGUUUUGUUUUUCAAAAGCAGGCUUUUGAACACCACAGUCUAAAUGCCAAUGAAAACAGUUCAUAGAUUGCAGAAAUGUCACUGGUUCCAAAUCUGAGAAAUAAAAUGGGCACAAUGGUCAGAUAUGGCUGCCUCUGACCAGUAGUCCCUUCAUCCCCUCACAAAGGAUGGAGGAGAAGGGGGGGAGGGGAAUCCUGAAGAGUUAUCCCAGCCACAACUCAGGAUCCAACACUACCUGAACUGGGAGGAACACCCUACCGGAUUGUUCUUGGAUGUCGGGGAGUGAGAGGUCUUGGAGCCCUGCACUUGCAGGGAACUUGAUUUGAUGGCACUAUGUUCAUAGUUGUGGGGGCUGCACUCGGGAGGCCCUGCUCAGCCCUGUGAACCAACUGAGGGGGGAAUGUGGGUAAAAACUGCAAAGAAAUGUUAUCUUAGCUCUUGGGUUCCUUUUCUUUCCCUUUUUAGCACUGAAAAAAAAAGUCUGUUUGGGCUAUUAAAGCAUGCUAAUUAGGCUCUUGCCUUUCUUUUUGUUUGCAACGAUGACAUGAAUUGAGGAGUGAGUGUCUCUUGGGAAAGCAGGGUCUCCCUUGUCAGUGUUCCUUAGCGUUCAUGCCACCACCAUCGUGUCUUGAAGUGGUUCUUCUGCAGGGCACUGAAGAGUCCCGUUUGUUUAGUGUUUGUUCCAAUUUGUAUGCUCCGACCCAGUGAGCAGCGGGGUAGGGUGCAAGGAAGGACCCUUAGCUUUGCUUCAAACCAAGAAUAGUUAAUAGCACCAUGGCGUAUUUAAAUUUUGUUCAAAAGUCUUUAUUAUAUUACUCUUUAGCUUGCUUAGAUCAUGUUAACAGAAAGAUCCAUUUUAACUCUGAAAGAAAAGUAACCCAGAGAAGCCAUUCUCUAGUCCCAUGCUAGUCUGAUAUAAUUUUAGUUAAUUGGCCCUUACCAAAUUUCCUAUAUAUAUAUAUAUAUAUAUAUAUGUAUGUAUGUAUGUAUGUAUGUAUGUAUUUGUAUUUUACUAUGAUAGUUGAGAAAUUUAGUCUCUUAGUAUUCUUUUGUUUGGUUGUUUGGUUGGGUUUUUUGUCUUUUGUUUGUUUGGGUUUUUGUUUUUGUUUUUAUUUUAGCUGUUUUUGUGCAUGAUACAAGUUAAGAUGCCCUGGAUGUUUGAUUUUGGAUGACAUGCUAUGUUCUUGUCAGUGGUGGUUCAUUUGCAGUAAAUUGAUGAGGACAGGCUGUAAACAUGAAGCCAGCACUGUGUAAAUCAUUACAGAGUUCAUUCAGUUACUGCUCAAGUCUCAUCUGGGGGAAGUUCCAAAAAUAACCAACAUCUUGUGUUUUUGAGUUUCACAGUGGGAAGGGUACAUCAUUAAAUGGGCAUUUUGCACUCGAAAGUCACUUGGUUUGGAGACUGUGUGUAGCAUAGCUUUGUUCAACUAAGAAGAUACUAAAUAUGCAGAUGUUGCAAGAGCCUUGGAACAGAAUUACAGGGGAGUGAUAUAUGUAUAUGUAUGUUUUAUUAAACACCCACCUGCACUAUCAGUAUUGCACUAAUGUGGAAUUUGAGAGACUAUUGCUGAUAUUGUAAUCUGCGCACCAUUCCUUAGAUUGUUAAAAAAGACAAUCUCAGAGAUCAAAGGUUUUAUAAUUUGGUUUGAAAUUAGAAUUGUCUUGAAGGAGUUGCUAACGUACAUGAAGUCACUUGAGUUCUCUUUAUUCUCUUCUUGGUCAAGGUUAACAGUUUCUAAACGAUUGCAAAUUCACUUAAGUAAUACAUUUACAAAGCCAUUUUACAUGCAUUAAAAGAGGGCUACAAUGUGUUUUACAAAUACUAGCACUUUUUUUUCCUGUUAUGUACCUAGUGUUAGAGGGUCAGAAUAAUCUUUCUGCUUGGCAUCUCUUAAAACCUACCUGCAAGCAUAGCAGGCUUAUUGCAUUUACAGUUCUUUAAUACUUGUAUAAACUAUGCAGAAAUUUUUAAUAAAGUGUAAUAUAUUUUAUAAGCUAAUAAGACUGAAUGGGUAAAGGUUUUUAGCAUGCAUUAGUAUACUUGCAAAUACUGAAACAUUUUGGUAAUCUUUCUUACUAAAGAUGUGAAUGUUUAAUGUACCUUCUGUUUCUACCCUGUAGUCCAAUGGGAAUUCAGUAAUGACAUUUUGUCAUGUCAAACUGUGAACAUAAAUUUGUACUGUACAGUCCUCAUAUACUAUAUACAGUAUGCAAUAUAUGUAUUAUAUACUUGUUAAUAAAACCAUCUGAAUAUUA